GACGAACGCUGGCGGCGUGCUUAACACAUGCAAGUCGAACGGAAAGGCCCUGCUUUUGUGGGGUGCUCGAGUGGCGAACGGGUGAGUAACACGUGAGUAACCUGCCCUUGACUUUGGGAUAACUUCCGGAAACUGGGGCUAAUACCGGCUAGGAGCUCCUGCUGCAUGGUGGGGGUUGGAAAGUUUCGGCGGUUGGGGAUGGACUCGCGGCUUAUCAGCUUGUUGGUGGGGUAGUGGCUUACCAAGGCUUUGACGGGUAGCCGGCCUGCGAGGGUGACCGGCCACAUUGGGCCUGAGAUACGGCCCAGACUCCUACGGGAGGCAGCAGUGGGGAAUAUUGCACAAUGGGCGGAAGCCUGAUGCAGCCACGCCGCGUGCGGGAUGGCGGCCUUCGGGUUGUAAACCGCUUUCGCCUGUGACGAAGCGUGAGUGACGGUAAUGGGUAAAGAAGCACCGGCUAACUACGUG
rnacentral:rRNA from 1 species